rnacentral:rRNA from 1 species
GAUGAACGCUGGCGGCGUGCCUAAUACAUGCAAGUCGAGCGAACAGACGAGGAGCUUGCUCCUCUUACGUUAGCGGCGGACGGGUGAGUAACACGUGGAUAACCUACCUAUAAGACUGGGAUAACUUCGGGAAACCGGAGCUAAUACCGGAUAAUAUAUUGAACCGCAUGGUUCAAUAGUGAAAGACGGUUUUGCUGUCACUUAUAGAUGGAUCCGCGCCGCAUUAGCUAGUUGGUAAGGUAACGGCUUACCAAGGCGACGAUGCGUAGCCGACCUGGGAGAGGGAUCGGCCACACUGGAACUGAGACACGGUCCAGACGCCUACGGGAGGCAGCAGUAGGGAAUCUUCCGCAAUGGGCGAGAGCCUGACGGAGCAACGCCGCGUGAGUGAUGAAGGUCUUCGGAUCGUAAAACUCUGUUAUUAGGGAAGAACAAAUGUGUAAGUAACUAUGCACGUCUUGACGGUACCUAAUCAGAAAGCCACGGCUAACUACGUG